UCAGAACUGGGUGGAUCCAGAGGGCUUGUGCUUCACUGUCCUGCUUUGAGAGCCUUUGGAUUCGGUUUCUGGAGAGUUUCCCCUUCCCUGAGCCCCAACUCUGAGUCUAGCUCUUGGGAUCAGUGUGCCCCGGGACUGUGCCGCGAGCGCCUGAAAAGGACCCCCUAGCCCUGCACUCUCUAGGCGGAGUGGGUAAGGCAUUCUCGGGAGGCAGAUGCCUCUAAUCCGUAAACAGAUGACGGGACUUCCAGACCUAGCUGAGCGCCGGGGUCCCUUAGGGCGCAGUUUUCAGCGGAGCGCAGCUUUUAAAUAUGGACCUCGGGCUCCAUUCUGAUUUAGGAAUCGGAAAUCCCUGUUGGACUCUGGAGUUGGCAUUCGUAAGGUAUGGGAGGGACGGGGGUGGUCCGAGCACCAGGCAGCUCCUCGAGCCGCAGAAGCAGGGGUGAGGACAAGCUCUGCUUCAGAGGGGUGCGGGCGCCGCCUCCCACUGCGCGGUGAAGGCCUCCCGGACCUCCCUCCCCGCCCUCCCCCGCCCUCAACUCUGCGGCCUAACUCGGCUGGGGCGCCGCCAGCCCGAAAUUUGGAAGAGCUGCCGCCCGUUCCUGCCCUCCGGCGUCACCGCAGGACCCCGGCGAAGUUAGAAUAAAAACAUUCUGUGGGCUCCUGAAACUAUCAUGGGCCCUAGGCCCUGGACCUGUUGUGACAAAUGCUGCUCCUGGCACACCUGGGAUGAUGGGGAUGCUAAGUGUGCCUUCUCCUGGCUGCAGCUCCUAAGCCUGGAAACCUGGAGAGAGGUUUGGGACCAGGAUAUUUAUCCGACUUCCCUGGAACUCUGUGAAUUUGUAAUCCUCAGCAUUCCUGUGAGGAAGUGGACAGAUGACAUCUCUCCAAGUUUCCAAAGGGAAGGCUGAAGAACAGAAAUCUGAGUAACUUCCCCAGAACCCCACAGGAAUGAUCUUCACCAGAUGUUCCUAUAAGGAUCACCAGCAAUCUUCAGGGAACAUUAAAAACAGAAAGCAGAUCCAGAUCACUCUGCCCCACUGCUUGUAAUAUACGUGAAAGCGUGGACCC